AAUUCGAUGCAACGCGAAGAACCUUACCAGGGUAUGAUAUGUGAGCUUCGACCUUCGGGGAGAGGUUAAUCCUGUGAAAGCAGGAUGAAUCACACAGGUGUUGCAUGGCUGUCGUCAGCUCGUGUCGUGAGAUGUUGGGUUAAGUCCCGCAACGAGCGCAACCCUUGCUGUUAGUUACCAUCGGGUAAUGCCGGGGACUCUAGCAGGACUGCCGGUGAUAAACCGGAGGAAGGUGGGGAUGAUGUCAAGUCAUUAUGACCCUUUACACCCUGGGCUAACCACGUGCUACAAUGGUCGGUACAAAGGGGAGCAAUACCGCGAGGUGGAGCAAAUCCCAAAAAGCCGGCCUCAGUACGGAUUGCAGUCUGCAACUCGACUGCAUGAAGCUGGAAUCGCUAGUAAUCGUGGAUCAGCAUGCCACGGUGAAUACGUUCCCGGGCCUUGUACACACCGCCCGUCAAGCCAUGGAAGUUGGUAGCACUCGAAGUCGUCGACCCAACCUCGUGAGGGAGACGCCGAAAGUGAGACUGGUAACUAGGGCUAAGUCGUAACAAGGUA
rnacentral:rRNA from 1 species